rnacentral:rRNA from 1 species
CACGUAGGGGGCGAGCGUUGUCCGGAUUUAUUGGGCGUAAAGAGCUCGUAGGCGGCUCAGUAAGUCAGGUGUGAAAACUCCAGGCUCAACCUGGAGACGCCACCUGAUACUGCUGUGGCUAGAGUCCGGUAGGGGAGCAUGGAAUUCCUGGUGUAGCGGUGAAAUGCGCAGAUAUCAGGAGGAACACCAGUGGCGAAGGCGGUGCUCUGGGCCGGAACUGACGCUGAGGAGCGAAAGCGUGGGGAGCAAACAG